GAUGAACGCUGGCGGCGUGCCUAAUACAUGCAAGUCGAGCGAUCUUCUUCGGAAGAGAGCGGCGGACGGGUGAGUAACGCGUGGGUAACCUGCCCUGGACACACGGAUAACAUACCGAAAGGUAUGCUAAUACGGGAUAAUAUAUGAGAGUCACAUGACUUUUAUAUCAAAGUUUUUGCGGUACAGGAUGGACCCGCGUCUGAUUAGCUAGUUGGUAAGGUAACGGCUUACCAAGGCGACGAUCAGUAGCCGACCUGGGAGGGUGAUCGGCCACACUGGAACUGAGACACGGUCCAGACUCGUACGGGAGGCAGCAGUGGGGAAUAUUGCACAAUGGGCGAAAGCCUGAUGCAGCAACGCCGCGUGAGCGAUGAAGGCCUUCGGGUCGUAAAGCUCUGUCCUCAAGGAAGAUAAUGACGGUACUUGAGAGGAAGCCCCGGCUUACUACGUGCCAGCCGCCGCGGUAA
rnacentral:rRNA from 1 species